CUGAAGAAGUUCUUGCUUCACGAGAAAAUGCCAGAGCCUUUUUGCUGGAAGAGCUGAAUAAUCCUUUGAUCUGGGUGAUGCAGAAGGAGAAAUAAAAAGGAAACAGCUUCUGUUUAAUUACAGGCAAGUAAACAGGGAAAUGUUUGUUACUGCAAACAAAAUUUGUUGUGCCUGUAAUCUCACUGCUACAGAUGCCCCCGUCCACUGAACUACAAAUACGCAACCUAAACUGUGGACUGUUCAGAGCACCUGUAUUUUCUUUAAACCUGAAGAAAAGAAGCCACUACUACCAUUCAUCUACACAGCAAACUUUUACACACCUUCAUUACCAUCCUCUGAAACAUCAGAAACUGUAGCAGCUUGUAGGAUAAGGAAAACAGAAUAUAUCUCCAAUGAAAACAAGGCUUAUAUAGAAAAGAAAUCUCCCCUACUGGGUUACUAAAAGGUCUAAAAUGCAGAUCGUUAGCACGACCUUUAGAAAACAAAAUACCUGGAAUAUUUUCUGAUUGCCUUCGAGGCUUUACAAGAAGUUUCACUCCUCCGCCAAAAACAGCAGCCCACAUCCGGCUGUUCAGAGGAUGAGCUGCCAGUCGGAACAACUCGUUACAUGAGUUGGUUGCCAGGGCAUGGAUCAGCAGACUCAGGUAAACAGCUACAACAGCUUCGCAAAGAAGGACGUUUAACUUUGGUUGAUCUUCAUCCUGAGCUGAACUUAAGAGAUUUAUCAGUGAACUCACACCUGCAGAGAGAAGACGAAAAGCUCUUCGUUAAUUACAAACAGGGAAGAAUUCGGUGUUGCAUCUCUGUCUCUUUUGGUGCACACAUACUAAUAGCCAUUUGAAACUUUUGUUCUGAUAUAUCAACAAUUAUGAUUUUUUCUUAGACUGAACAAAAAGAUUUCUGAAUUGUGCCUCAGAUUGCUUUGCCUCUGAAACUCCUGCACUGUUGGCCAGAGUUGACCUCACAAUAUUACCUCUCUGCUAGUAUGUGAAAAGCAGUUGUUUUGAUGGCUACGGCAGGAAAAGCAAGUAUGUAAGACAGUACUGUAGCUGCAGCUAACAGAAAGAAACUGCUCUGCUCGAGGGUGACGCAGACCUGAGAAAAACAUCUUAGGAUGACAAAUAAUCAGCUUAUAGAAUUUAUCCUGAAGAUUCUGAUC